GAUGAACGCUGGCGGCGUGCUUAACACAUGCAAGUCGAACGAUGAAGCCCAGCUUGCUGGGUGGAUUAGUGGCGAACGGGUGAGUAACACGUGAGUAACCUGCCCUUAACUCUGGGAUAAGCCUGGGAAACUGGGUCUAAUACCGGAUAGGAGCGUCCACCGCAUGGUGGGUGUUGGAAAGAUUUAUCGGUUUUGGAUGGACUCGCGGCCUAUCAGCUUGUUGGUGAGGUAAUGGCUCACCAAGGCGACGACGGGUAGCCGGCCUGAGAGGGUGACCGGCCACACUGGGACUGAGACACGGCCCAGACUCCUACGGGAGGCAGCAGUGGGGAAUAUUGCACAAUGGGCGCAAGCCUGAUGCAGCGACGCCGCGUGAGGGAGGACGGCCUUCGGGUUGUAAACCUCUUUCAGUAGGGAAGAAGCGAAAGUGACGGUACCUGCAGAAGAAGCACCGGCUAACUACGU
rnacentral:rRNA from 1 species